rnacentral:rRNA from 1 species
AACGCUAGCUACAGGCUUAACACAUGCAAGUCGAGGGGCAGCAUUAUCGAAGCUUGCUUUGAUAGAUGGCGACCGGCGCACGGGUGAGUAACGCGUAUCCAACCUUCCCCAUAGUCAGGAAUAGCCCGGCGAAAGUCGAAUUAAUGCCUGAUGUUUUCCACGGACGGCAUCUGAUGUGGAACAAAGAUUGAUCGCUAUGGGAUGGGGAUGCGUCUGAUUAGCUUGUUGGCGGGGUAACGGCCCACCAAGGCAACGAUCAGUAGGGGUUCUGAGAGGAAGGUCCCCCACAUUGGAACUGAGACACGGUCCAAACUCCUACGGGAGGCAGCAGUGAGGAAUAUUGGUCAAUGGGCGAGAGCCUGAACCAGCCAAGUAGCGUGCAGGACGACGGCCCUAUGGGUUGUAAACUGCUUUUAUAAGGGAAUAAAGUGAGUCUCGUGAGACUUUUUGCAUGUACCUUAUGAAUAAGGACCGGCUAAUUCCGUGCCAGCAGCCGCGGUAAUACGGAAGGUCCGGGCGUUAUCCGGAUUUAUUGGGUUUAAAGGGAGCGCAGGCCGUGGGUUAAGCGUGUCGUGAAAUUCCGUCGCUCAACGGCGGACGUGCGGCGCGAACUGGUCCACUUGAGUACGCGGGACGUUGGCGGAAUUCGUGGUGUAGCGGUGAAAUGCUUAGAUAUCACGAAGAACUCCGAUUG